CGCCUCUAUGCCGUCGCCGCCGUCGCGUCGUCGUUGAUUCAACGCCGCUGCCGCCUCCAUUUACAUAAGGAAGAAGUUCAAAGGCAAAGCUUGAUUGAUGUGCAAGAAAGACAUGAAAAUGAAUUUCCAUAUUGGUUUAAGCAACAUGUGACACACUUAAAUAUAAAUGGCUCUGUUGGAUCACAAGAUCAAUUAUAUGCAUUAGGACUGGGUCCUGAUAUUCGUGUUGCAAAAUAUAGUGGUAUAAUAGUUAAUGGAAUUAGAUUUUACACGAUUGAGCGUGAUAAGUAUCUUCGUACACAAAAUAGUGGUAUUGUGGUAAAAGGAGACCAUAAUUCAGAAGAAUUUGAUUUUUAUGGUGUCAUGGUGGAUAUCAUUGAGCUCGAG